GACGAACGCUGGCGGCGUGCUUAACACAUGCAAGUCGAGCGGUAAGGCCCUUUCGGGGGUACACGAGCGGCGAACGGGUGAGUAACACGUGGGUGACCUGCCCUCAGCUCUGGAAUAAGCCUGGGAAACUGGGUCUAAUACUGGAUAUGACUCCACGGUGCAUGUCGUGGGGUGGAAAGCCUUGUGCGGCUGAGGAUGGGCCCGCGGCCUAUCAGCUUGUUGGUGGGGUGANGGCCUACCAAGGCGACGACGGGUAGCCGGCCUGAGAGGGCGACCGGCCACACUGGGACUGAGACACGGCCCAGACUCCUACGGGAGGCAGCAGUGGGGAAUCUUGCGCAAUGGGCGAAAGCCUGACGCAGCGACGCCGCGUGAGGGAUGACGGCCU
rnacentral:rRNA from 1 species